UUUUUUUUUUAAAAGUCCCUAACAAUUUUUCUCUAAUUAAAGUAGAUAAUUUGUCCAUUUCUGGUAAUUCAUUCAGUUAUAACAACCAUUCCUCUUUUGUUAAUAGCAUUGAAUUCUUCCAUCCUUGUGUAUAUAGUGCCACAGUGAUCACAUAGUAUGUCAUCUUUCAUUAUUCCUUUCCAGCUGUUCAUCCAUAAAUUCCAAAAUAAAAAAGUUCUACGUUAAAUGGAUGUUAACUUUUAAGAUCCUCAGCCUCAAAGAAUUAUUUGAACUCAAAACGCUUUAUCCUUUUCACAUGUCCACCACAUAUGAUAAAAUGUCCCUUCAUGUAAUUCAUUACAUUACAUUACAUGAAAAAUGAAUGCCUCAUAAUUCAGCACAUUUAAUUGCAUGCAGAUGCUUUAUAUUUUAUAGGAUGAGUCUCUAUUACUGAUACUUAUUUUGUUUAAAGGAAGAAAACAUACGUUGUAACCAUCUAAUAUGAAAUCCAUAAGGUGUCAUUUUUAAAGUAAUCUGAGCUGAUUUCAAGGGAAUACCACAACAGGAAAGACCAAGGCUCAGAGCAGCUUAUAUGUUGCCCAUACAGUGACCCUCUCAAACUUAGAGGAUUUACAGUUUAGUAGAUUGUGCUAAAAGUACUUAACUUUCUAAAAUAAUGUGGCCCACUACAAUACGUCAUUUCUACCCAUUUUAUCAAGAUGAAUGCGAGCUGGAGCUAAUACACUUUCCUCCUGCUGUUCCACAUCUUUUAAAAGGCACAUACACACGUUUCUGUGCAAGACAGCCUCUCCAUCCACUUUGUAGUCAGGAGUGGUUCUGUAGACACUUUGCAUGUGGUGAGCCAUUUUCUCCUAAAAAUCUCCUCUUCCCCUCCUCUUCAAACCUCUCUCAUAGCAAUCCUAAGGGGAUAUCUGCAGCAUAAUUGGAUUCUGGGUCUUUUAGGCAGCUCCCUACCUUCAUUUUCCUUUCAGCCAUUUAAUAUUUCAUUGGCAUUGUCACCGGAUUUGAUUAAACAAUGUGUGACAUGUGCUGCGAGCCUUUCUUAGAAGAAAAAUGGCAAAGGGUUUCUUCUUUUGAGUCCUUUUAAAAAUAGAAGUUGUUUACUGAGCUAAAGUUUUGCUCUUAUAGUUAUUUAAUUGAAAGCCACAUUGAACUCAACAGGACUUACCUGGAAGAGUAGAUAGAGAGGGAAGUCAUGGGCAGCCCUCAGGUCUAUCAAAUCCACUAUGGUACUUUAUUAAACAUACAAUAAACUAAGUGUAAAAUACUGACAGUGGUAUGCUCAUAGAAAUAAAUAAAUAAAUAAAUAAAAACCAUCCUCUGUGCAGGAAUAUGUUUUCAGGAACAAUAUACAAGUUGUGUUGCUGUGAGUUUUCCAGGCUGCAUGGCCAUGUUCCAGAAGCAUUCUCUCCUGACGUUUUGCCCACAUCUAUGGCAGGCAUCCUCAGAGGUUAUGAGAUCUGUUGGAAACUAGGCAAGUGGGGUUUAUAUAUCUGUGGAAUGUUCAGGGUGGGAGAAAGCACUUUUGUCUGCCUGAGGCAAGUGUGAAUGUUGCAAUUGGCCAGUUUGAUUAGCAUUGAAUAGCCUGGCAUCUUCAAAGUCUGGCUGCUUCCUGCCUGGGGGAAUCGUUUGUUGGGAGGUGAUUUCCUCCUUCAGCAUUUGGAAAAUGUUCCCUUUUUUGGACUUCAACUUCCCAAAUCCCCUAAUCAAUAUGCCUCAGCACCUACACCGUUUGGGGGUGUAUUGUAGUCCAAAAAGCAAUUAUUGUGAGCUUUGAACAGCCCUCCCCCCCCAAGCUUUCUUAAUUUCAGCAGCCUAAUUACAAAAAGCAAAAGGCAUCUCGGUUUCUUCCAUCCCUAAUUGAUUUGAAGUGGGAAAUCCUUUGGCUGCAGAUUGCCCAGGGAUUUACCAGUAGAUCUCAAUCUACUUUCUGCCCGUCUCUGAUGGAUUGGAUUGUUCUGUAAAUACAGCCUGGCUGUCUCAGAUCAUACACUGCAAGAUAUCCACAUUCCCACUAGUUCCCCAAUUUAUUUUCCUUGUUUUCGUUUUUCAAAAAUUCUACAAAGAAAGAGUACAUAGUAACUCUGGCUAAGAAAUCCUCCUUUCUUCUCAUUUUUAAUUAUCUCAUUUUUAAUUACAUUGCUUGUGUAUAUCUUUCCGCUUUGCAUAUCAUAAUGAUAUAUGUUGAUAUGGUCUUGCUAUAAAUAAAAUAUAUUUUGUACAAAAAUGGCUUUACGGGUAAGAGAAGGUGACAAUGCAGCCCAUGCAAAAAGGUGACUGUCAGCUCCCUGAAUCAGCAAUAGCCGUGAUUUGAGCCUGAGUUAUGAAGCCUUCCAUUUCUGCAUCACUUCAAGCAAUUCUGUUGGCACUAUUUAUAGAACACUGCUUUACAGUUCUAUUAGCAUAUCUUUCCUCUGAGGAUCAACGUGACUAACCCAAGCGUAAAGUCUUGCCUAUUUGGAUCUGUGCAGCAAGGCUUGCAUAAAACCAGCCGUCCUGGAGAGGAAUGUUCGAAUAACUUCCAACGAGAUGGGGUUGCAUCUCAAAAGAGACUGUCUACAAAAUGCCAUUUACGUACAAGCUUAAUGGGCGGAAAGAGUUACCAGUGCUCCUUAGUGAAACAGAUCCGAUGGUCCAAAUUCGGUAGUGACAAUCUUGAUUACCGGUAAUCCUCUGUGCUGUCUUUCAGCUUCUUUUAAAAUGUCCCUGUUUCUUCCUCUUCCUCUUACUUUUCCACUUUACUCCAGCUCACUUUGGUUGCUGCAAAUGGAGUCCAAAGUGCAAGUGUGAUUUGUACUCAAUUAACUAAAUGUGGCUAAAGAUGAGGAGGAGGUGGAAGCUUGCCCAGACAAAAGCAAACGCCUGCAGCCUCUCCCAACUUGUGCCUUUUGCUAUUUUGACCACUCUCUGAUGGUGUUUGACAACAUGUGCUUCAGUUUUUAAACUGUGAAAUAUUGGGGGGGCAUUGUUAAACCAUGAGAUGGAUUGGAUUAAUAUUUAUUCUGUAAUCCUCUAGACUGUUGCUUGCCAUUCAAGUCCCAUGUGCCAGUUGUAUAUGCGUUGCUGCAGAUGGAAACAAGGUACCAAUAAUCAUCAGAAGCAGUAGUGAUGAAAGUACAAAGACAUUGCAAACAGGAAGUGGGGAGGGGAAGAGACUGAAAACAGGCCAACUGGUAGCCAUGCAUAGGCUAUGCAUUUGGCAUCUUUUUGUUACUGAGGAAAGCCCCUCUUUAGAAUCAAAGCAGUUCACAUUCUUCUGACUUUCCCCUAUUUCUGACAGUGCGUCAGGAGCUUGUCAUAGCAGGAAAACAUCAUUGUCACAACAGAUUUCUUUGGCAUAUCAGGAUCUAGAUUUUGCCUCACUCUUUGCUGUAGUUUCUUCAGGAUAGAGUUACACAACUAUUCUGCUUCUACAUCUCUGGGCAUCCACAGUAUCCUCCCCAAUUUACCAAAUACAGUACUACAUUGUUUUGAUCUCAAAUUGUAAGUACUGAAUACCUCCUUGUACUAUGUUUUGCAUAAUCCAGUGUUAUGUGACAUAUUCCAAUCAGCAAGUACAUUUUUAAUGUAAUGUCACUUUAUAGUCAUUACUGGGGUAAAAUACUCAAUUAUACAUAUUUAAUAUGGGCAAGUAGUGUACCUAACUAGAUUCUGGUUAUCUGUAAGUUGCCUCCUAGUUCUAAGUUUAACUUUCACAAGAAGUGGUGCAGCCUGAGUCAAGUCAGUUGCCCAAAUCUAACUUUAGGCCAAAGCUGUUGUUAGCUUCUGUGACAGUGGAUGGUAUAUCUGGUCUGUGUUUUGGUUUGAUCUUUAAAGAACUAUUGAAGUUGCUGUUGUUGCUGUUUUUGUUUUUGUUGUUGUUGUUGUUGUUGUUGUUGCUGCUGCUACUGCUGCUGCUGUUGUGUUUAUUAUGUUUAUUUAUACCCCAUUUUUUAAAUCUCUACAACAGAGACUCAACGCGGCUUACAAUAAUUCUGGUGUUAUUCUGGUGAUAGUGUCCAGCACCUUGGAUAGUUCUUUUAAAGCUGAGGUUGUAACCUAUGAAUUCAUCACUCCACUGAUAUAGAAACCAAUUGUUAAUGCUUGGUUAAUGUGGUGAAUUACUUGCUUCCCUUCAGGUGAUCUCAGUCUCAUCUGGUUCAGAUAUGGUAGUAUAAUAUUGGCUUCCCAUGUGAACACGGGAAGGUUCAUGAAGGCCAAAUACAUAUAGCCCUAAGGCCAUACUGCAGUGGUCCUCAACCCGUGGGUCCCCAGGUGUUUUGGUCUACAACCCCCAGAAAUCCCAGUCAGUUUACCAGUUUAGGAUUUCUGGGAGUUGGUGGCCAAAACAUCUGGGGACCCCAGGUUGAGAACCACUGCCCUGCUGGAAUCCCCCCUUCUCUCCAAAGUUUGAAACAUUGUGAUUAUAGCUUUGUGGGAAAUAACAGAUGGGCAUGGACUGGAAUUUGCUCCUCUCACUUGAGGAACUCAUUCCUAAUUCUCCUCUCUUGGCCAAUCUAGUGCCUACUGCAUCUGUGUGCAAGACACUUUAAGAGAAGGAGAUGGAGCACAUCCCCCAGUAUCACGACUGAUAGAAGAAACCAGUGGAUCACCAUAGUUCCUGGCCUCCAUUCUCUUGGCAAUGAAGAAUUUCAAAGCUUUUGGAACUGGCUGCUAACAGAAGGGCCAUGAGCCAAAGGCCUUCACAUUAUGCAAGUUUUAUUUAGGGUGCCUUCAGAACUACUUGCUGCUCAAUGGGAGAGGAGUGACAGUCUUUAGAAUUGAUGGUUGAAUAGCUUUAUUUUAGUUUAGAAUGGGUUAUAGUCAUUACCUCUAACCCAGAUUAGCAAAUCAACAUAAAGUCAUCACACUCUGCCUAUUGGAAAGGCCAGCAUUGCCACUGAGUCCUUUGCAGAAGAGAGAUUUAAACUUCCAAAUUCAACUACUCAUUUAAAGUAGACUGUCCUACUUUCCCAGCUUGAAUCUUUCCAGGCCUGAUUUCCAUACAAUCCACCCAAUACAGAAAACUUGGUUUCAUUAAAACAAUCGAAAAUCCGAAAACUAGGUUGCUUGUCUCUUGGUUUCAAUGCUGCUUUAUGGGAGGUUUUGCAUUCUCCUUAUUUCCUGUUUUCAACACAUGCAGGAAGAAAGAAUACUCAGUUCUGAAAUUAAUGUCAUAAGAAGCCAAACAGGAAAUGUGUUUAAAUAAUUUCAGUUGCACUGCUCUAUUUUAUUCUAUUUGAUGCAUCAGAUAUAAUUGCUGCUAACACUGUGAAUAAGGCAUUCAUGUUUAGUAACCUUAGUCAGCAAUUCAAAAUAUACUUACUAGUGUACAGGACUAUCAUAUGCAAUGGGAAUGGCUUAUAUGUAGGCAGGUAUAUUAUUGCCUUUAAUAUUCGUUAUAAAGGAUGAUCCAAGAAAAAAAAAGAUGAUGCCCCAACCCAAACAGUGUUGUGGACUGCAGACAGGAUUAAGGAAAACAAUUCUUUCCCAAUAGGAUUUGAAAAAUCAAAACACCAAGGGGUUUUCUUGGCAAGCUUUAUUCAGAGUGGGAGGUUAAGCGAGUGUGACAUACUCAAGAUAGCUCAGCUGGUUUCCAUGGCUGAACAGGGAUUCGAACCUUGGUUUCCAGUCAUAGUCCAAUGCUCAAACCACUGCAUUGGCUCUCUUUUUGUAAGAUCACGUUCUUAAAUAUAAGGCAACUUUACACGGAAGCAGACAGUUGGUGCAGCCAAUUUGUCUACUCUGACAAGUCAUGGUUCUUUAAGAAAGAACUUUCUCAGAUCAAGUUUGGCUGCUGAUGGAAGGUUGCAAUCCAAAACUUUUUGCAUGCAAAACAUGUGCAGUGCCAUUAAGCUGCGCUUCCUUGCUGAAGUUACUUUUGUUGCUGUGUUUUUGGUUGAAAAAUGGUUGCUUAUGAAAAACAGUAGACCAUGUUUUUUUAUAAAUGUCAGUGGUCAAGUGAACAUAUGAACCAAACAGCCAUUCUGUGCUCCAACAAAGUCCUACCUAGUCCAGCAUUCAGUUUUCACACAUGUGGACGUAUUGAGGCACUUGCACCUACCUACUCAUCUUAUUUAUUAUUUUAUUGUGUCUUAUUCUAAUAACACAAUUUGAAACUCCCUUUUCUCCAAUGAUGGGGCUCAAGACAGAUAACAAUGUAUUUAAAACAAUACAUAUUAAAAAUAAUGCAAAAGAAUUUCUAAAAGUAGGAACGAAGGGAUCCUAUAUAUGAUAUGGUAUUGGAUGCCAUUCACAAGAUUCAAUUUUUCACAUGUAAUGUAAAUUUAUUUCCUAUAUGAAUUGUAUAUGAUGCUAUAGUGUUGUAAAUUAAAACAUAUUUUAUAAUUAUUUUAUAAGUUAUAAAAUAUUGAAACCCCUUUGUGACUUUUGGCCCACCCUGUAAAUGGCACAAAAAUGUUUUGACCUGCGGACUGAAAGAGAACAAGGAAGGGGCUACCCUGGCUUUCCUAAGUUUGGGAGCAAUCAUUGAGAAGGCCAUCAUGCUUGUUCCCACAAAAUGAGCCUGAAAAGGUGGUGGGACAGAGAAAAGGGCCUCUCCAGAUUAUCUUAGUGGUUUGAUCAUGGCAUCUGCAAUGACAGAUACAAUUUUUCAAAUGACCUCGGCUCAAGACCACACAUAUUCUCCAACAACAGGCAUUCAGAGGCAUAAUGUGUUGUCGAAGGCUUCCAUGGCCGGAAUCAGAGUUGCUGUGAGUUUUUCUGGCUUUUUGGCCAUGUUCCAGAAGCAUUCUCUCCUGACAUUUCAUCCACAUCUAUGUUCCUUGAUUCAUAUUUGAGUGUUGCAUUCAGAGGCAUAACUGGCAAAAGUUCUAUAAUAUCCUGCCCUUCCUUAUACCUGGUUAUAAAACAAGGUUUCCUGAUAACUUCUCCAGAGCUUCUGGUUCUUGCAUUUGUGUCUCUAAGCUUGUGGAUGUUUGGUAGAAGAUACCAACAAUAUCCAAAAUCAUUUAUAGUCCUAAUGGCUGUGUGGAACUGAUCCUACUGUUAGCCUUUAUGUUGGACCCUAGGACUGUAACACAUACAUGAAAUCUGUGUAAGACAUACAAGGCAUCUCCUAUUAUACAUCUCCCUGAUCCUAGUCCUUUAUCUAUGGUCUAUUAUUGACUCUCCAAACAAACUUCACAGAAGAGAUAUCAAAAAAAGAUGGCAAAAGGUUUAACUCUAUAAAGGACAGUCCUUGGUUUGGAGGUGCCCGUAAUUUUGUAGUGAUUUGGAGGGACUGAUCCACUCAAGUCAGUUUAGGUUCAAGAAAUACUGUAGUGAGAUUAACUGAUGGGUCAGAUGAUAAAUUGAUGGAAAAGGAACAGAGAAACAUAAACAGACAAAUAAAGUGUUCUCAUGUUCCUUCAGCUGAACACUAACACAGCUUCCUUACAGAUGGUCCCCAGAUGCUACCUUGUUCUCUUAGCUCUACAUGGCUGCCUUGUACUUGGGCAAGGCUUUGGCAUUCUCCUUCCCAGGACAAUGAAAUAUCAAUCCCUUCCAUGUGGAUUCUAUAUAUCUUAACAGGAUAAGCCUUCUAGAAGCCAUGAGACCACACUCACAGAUUUGGGGAGGGCGCAAUCGUCCUCUUCCUCCUACCGCCAUCAAAGAGGGACUUUCUUAUCUGGAACAGGACUAACACAAACAUCCUGGCUGCCUUUCUGUUUACCUUUAGGCUUAAAUCUCUUUACUAAUUAACUUGAGCAGAAUAAACUGAAGUUAUGAAACAUGAGAUUUAAAGGACUCUAGUAGAGGUAUAUGUGUAAUCAUAAGAAGUGUGCAUGGAGGAUGAGAAGUCCAGCUACUAUACUCUUCACCAGUCUUUCUCAAAGCCAUCCUGCUAUUCCAGUCCAAGUCUGGUUGAAAGAUAAAACAAACAAACAAACAACCAUAUAAUGGGAGAGCAUUAUAACAUGGUUGCCGGUAUAUUUCUUCCCUUGUUACAAUCUUUACAGUGAAAUAUAAUCAGCUUUCCAUGUUUGCUGGGGUUAGGUGCACAGGACCCCAUGAAAGUGAAAAACCACAAAUAAAAAUAUCUUUUCUUUUACCUAAAACAGUGAUUCUCAACCUGUGGGUCCCCAGAUGUUUUGGCCUUCAACUCCCAGAAAUCCUAACAGCUGGUAAACUGGCUGGGAUUUCUGGGAGUUGUAGGCUAAAACACCUGGGGACCCACAGGUUGAGAACCUCUGACCUAAGAGAACAUUUCUCCAUGAAUGUCUAGGUUCUCCAGCACAACUUUGUGGUCAACUUUCCCUAAACUGGCUAUAGCAUUGCACUGGAGGACCUACAGAUUCUUAGAGAGAACAUUUUAAAUCAAAAUUAUGAAUAAUAAAAUCCACCAAAGUCAAACCUGCAAGUGUAGAGGCUCGACUGUAUGUUGUUGUUGUUUAUUUCAGUUAUAAUAAUUGUUUCUAAAUUGCAUCUUUACAUCUAAAGUAGCAUGUGCAAAUGUCCAAAUGUGUGUCCUUUUUCUUUUAGUGAAGCAUGUCCUUUUUGUGAGAUGUGGCAUGAACGGCUUACCAUUUCUUUUGGAAUGCAGAAUGUUUAGCCUGAAGCAAAGGCAUAAAAGAAACAGGAAGGUGUUACUGUUUUGAUCAAUGGAAGAAAGAACAGUAGAGUUGUGUGUCUUUUGUCUAGGCCCCUUAUCCAUGCAAACUCUGUGCACAUUGUCAUUUUUUAUGGCAUCUUACCAGUUUGGAAGACAGGGAUUCAAUCACCUUGAAGCACUCAGGUGCAUAAUGACUUCUUGACAUGGUUCAAAGACUCGGGAAGCAUUGUCCAUUCCUGUAUGACGUUCUCAGCUUUUUGCUGGGUUGAUUUUCAAUCUUCUCUCAAACCAACUGUUAUUAUUCAUGUGAGAAAUGAAACGGUGUUGCUGUCAAAGACUGGCUGACUUGAUGUUGACUAAGAAUAGGCAGGCAUGACUAUGAUCACAGCUUCAGAAUGGAAUAAGACUCAGCUACUUUAAUAUAUUCAGCGUGGAGACUCCCUUUGAAGAUGGCACAGAAAAUUCAGUAGCAUGUGGCUGCUUUUGCUGCAACUUAAAAGAUGAGUUAUUUUUUAUCAGUUCUGCCCCAGCUGUAAUGGUGGCUGUUGCAUUGCUAGGAUCAAUUCCAAAUCCUGGUAUUAACCUCAGAUUCACUUUUAUUUUAAGAACUGACUAUAAAAGAGAUAGGCAAUCUGGUACCCUCCAGGUUACAACUCUCGUGACCAUUGACCAUUAGUCAUUCAUUCUGGCUGGGGUUUAACGGAGUCAGAAGCCAAAAUAUUUGGAAGACACAAAGGUCCCUUCCACACAGCUGAAUGAAAUCCCACAUGUUCUGCUUUAAACCGGAAUAUAUGACAGUGUGGACUCAGAUAACCCAGUUCAAAGCAGAUCUUGUGGGAUUUUCUGCCUUGAUAUUCUGAGUUAUAUGGAUGCAUGGAAGGGUCCAAGGUUGCUUAACUAGACUAACACUCUUAUGAACCUACCUGUUAAUGGUGUUAAGAUCACCAACAGAGAUUUAUUCAUGUGUCUGGUACUGAAACAGGGUUUUUUCAGUAGUGAUUGCAACCCUAUAUGAUUUCAUUCUGAGACAGAUAUAACUGGCUUUAUCUCUAUUGCUUAUAAGAGUCCUGAACACAUAUUUACCACCAUAGGCCACACAACCAACCUAAACAACUUUGUAAACUCCAGUUGGCUUCUGUAAAUUAAUGUGGAUUUUUUCCAGAUUUUAUGUCAUUAUAUAAUUUUUUACCUAAAAAUGUUGGUUCAAUAUAUUGAUGUUAGGUUUAAUUCACUGAUGUAAGGUUUAAUUUGAUGUUAGGUUAUAAUGCUGUUUUCAUAUGUGGGGUUUUUCUGGGAUUCUAUGUCGGUAUUUGUUGGUUUUUGUGAAGGCUUUGAAUGUUUGCCAUUGUAUGUUGGAAUCCACCCUGAGUCUCUUUAGGGAGAUAGGGCAGAAUGGAGAUAAAGUUUUAUUAUUUAUUACUAUUUGUUUUCUUUAGCAAAGGAUUUUUCCUUACAUAUGCUGCUUUUUAAAAGAUUUAACUGACUUAUGAUUAGAUGGAUUUGCUCUAUUUGUAUGGGAUUGUAUGUUUUAUGAUGGAGAGAGAUAGACAGACAGACAGAUGAAAGAAUUGUUAUGUGCUUUUAAGUAAUUUCCAAUGUAUUGGAACCCCAAAUAUAUCAUAGGGUUUUCUUGGCAA